UAUUGGUUUUUAUUUUUAUUUUUUAAUACUUAAUAUAAAUAAAAUACUAUAAAAACAAACAACCUAAUAUUUAACACUAUUAAGCAUUAAAGUUUUAUUUAGACUUAAGUAAAAAAAACAAACACUACCUUAGUUGGAAAGCAUAACUGCUAAUUAACAUAUGAAAGACAUUCAAUAUUAAAAAUCAUAUUCAGUUUCAAUCAAUAAAUGGUGUUGAGUUAUAACAAAGUUUUGCUGUGUUGCAGGGAGUGUGGGCCACUGGAUUGAUGGUUGCAAUAAUGAGCUGGGCUGCAAGGCUGAGGGGGCCAUUGUUUGUAUCUUCUUUCUAUCCCUUAAUGCUUGUAACUGUUGCAAUACUGGGGUCUCUCUUACUCGACGAGCAACUAUACUUGGGAAGGUUUGGAUCAAAACUACUCUUCUACUUCAACUUAAAAAGGUUUCAUUUAUUCUGAUAUUAAUUCAUUAUUCAUUUAUGGAACAGCAUAAUAGCAGUAGUGUUGAUCGUAGUGGGCUUGUAUGGUGUUUUGUGGGGAAAAGGCAAGGAGAUGAAGCAGAACGACCAAAUAGAUGGAGCAAAAAGCUCUACGGAGCCAGAAUUGAGAGGCAUUGUCAUAGAAACCUCAUCUAGUACUAAGGGUAAACCGACCGCAACAAGUACUAUUUGUCCCAUCCAAGCUGCUGACCGAGGAUCUGGUGCGGUUUCUCCUGCUGCAGUGGUGCAUGAAUAGCAUCAAUAUAUCAUACUGAUAUCUUUUAUUUGGAAGAAAAUUUUGAAGAAAUUCUUGUAUGUAUAUACAAAAUUCAUUUCUACGCAACCAAAUAUCUUAAAAACAGUGUACCCGCCCCGUAUUUCCUUUGCCUAAAUUGUAAUAUUUUCCGAUAAUAAAUGAUUAAUGUUUCAUGCAAUUUUUAUUUAUGUCACAGUUUGCUAAGUUAUUUAUGGUGGUGUAGGAAGUCCUACAGCUGCUGCUAUGCAUGAGAAUAGCUCUAUCUUCUUACCCUAUCUUAUAUGUGUAUCGUUUUCUAUGAAAUUGGAAUUCCAAAUUAUAGAAAAUUGAUACCUACAUUGGCAUUAGAAUUACAAAUUAAUAUAAUCAUCAUAUAAACUAACGAUGAAUGUUUUGGUCAUACAUCUGCGGUCUCCAUCUUACAUACAUAUUUUCAAACAUAUAUUGAUUGAUUAAGAGUCAGUGUGGGAAUGAUUGUUGGAAGUUAGAAGUGUUUGGCAAUAGUAAAAAUGAUUUUUCUUAGAAAGUUGGGAGGCAUGACAAAGUAUUGUAAAUGAAUUUUAAAAGUCUAGCUAAUCACUUCUAUAAGUUUUGAAAUAACAUUGGAUGCUAGUGUAUAAAAAUGACUUUUUACAGGUUAGUUUUACUAUGAAAAAUAGUAAAGAAAGUGAAAUAUAAUUAAAAUUAUUAAAAAUUUAUAUAUUUUUAAAUUAUUUAAUCUUUAUAUAGAACAAUUGAAUAAGUGAAAAAAGUUUGAAAUGAUAUAUAAAAAUAAUUUAUUAACUUUAAAUUUUUUUUUCUCUUUACUUUUAUUUUUUCUCUUUGUUCCCUUUCUCUCGCAUUUUUCUUCAAACUUUUCGAUAAUAAAACAUAACCUCGAGGUUUGAAAAAUAUUUAAAAUUAUAUUUGUAAAUCAAGAAAAUCACUUCAAGUGAUUCUUGAAUUAGCACUUUGAUAUGUGCUACUUCAUCUAAAAAUCAUUUUUUAUUAUAUAAUACAUUAUCCAAAAAUACUUAAUUAUAUAGGAAUACUAUCUUCUAUACACAUCCAACACCAAUUGAUUCUUCAUAAAAAUAUUUAAUAGAGGUGUUAUCAACAAAAGCAUUAUAAGUUUCUUCAUAAAAAUAUAGUAUUAAAAUAUUUACUAUGGAAGUGAUGCUGAUAAAAACAUUAUAAAUUAAAAACAUUUUUACCAAAAUCAUUAUGAAAUCAGCCUAAACCUACUCAUGCUUCCAAAUGAAACAUCUCAUGAGUUUUGUCCAUUUGCAUGUUGGCAUAUCCUCUCUCCAAACAACUUCACCAUCAAUUAAUUUUCAGUUAAUGAUAAGAAUAUUUAAAAAAAAAAAAAAAAAAAUUCGAUUACAUCAUAUUAUGAACAUACUUUGUACAAUUGAGGUACAAUUUAUCACAUUUCUUACAAUCUAAUAAAUUUUUUAAAUAAUAAUAAUACUAAAAAAAAAUAAAACUAUUUUUCAUAUUCUAAAAUACACAAACUCUUCAUUUUAAUUUCCUCUACUAGGUGCAAGAUUACCUUAAUUUACAUAUUAGAUAGAAUGAUAGGACACACGAUGAAAGUGGUAAAAGUUAAUGCACAAAAGAAGGAUAAGACUCCACUUUAACCAAUAUUUCUAUAAAUAAAGAGUAAUUAAAUAUUAAUAAUAUUUUAUUAUCUUAAUUUAGGAAAUAAUAUUUAUUUUCCUUAAUUUUAAGAUAUUUUUUAUUUGUUUAUUUUUUAUAAUUUACAAUAUACUAUUGUAUACAUUUUUUAAAAGAAAUAAUAAAAUUCAAGUCUUUCAUUGCAAAAAUUAUCAAUUUUUUUAUUGUAUUAGAGGAAGAGACUUAAACUUGAUUCUUCUCCAAAAGUGAUGGAAUGUCAUAAAAGUAUUGGUCAAAAUACUUGAAUAGGUAGAAAUUUUCUAUUUGGAGGGAAAAAGUUUUACCCUUACUACGUAUUACAAUUCUUGACAAAAACUAAAAAAUAACAUUUCUAAGUAUUACAAUUCUUAACAAAAACUAAAAAAUAGAAAUAAUAAUAAUAAUUUAAUAUUUAUAUGAUGUCUUUGUUUGAUAUUUUUAUCAAUCCUUUGGUAUGCCUUCACCAAGUUUCAAGGUAAGAUGGACAUUCAUAUACAUUCUCACUCUAGAGAAUAUAUUUAAAAAAAUAAAAAUUUGAAAGAGCAUAUUAAGGAAAAGAAUAAACAAAGACAAAAAAUGACAUAUACAAUAGUAAAUCAAAAGCAACAUUUUCAUAAAUAAAAAGCAAGCAAAUAUUAAUAAUAUUUGAUUCUCUUAAUUUAAAAAAUAAUAUUUAUUUAUUUAUUUUAAGAUAUUUAUAAUUUCUUUUUUUCUAUAAUUCGCAAUACAUUCUUUUGAAAACAAAUUAUGAAAUUCAUCAAACUCUUCAAUUAGAAAACGGAAAAUGAAAAAAGAAAAUUCAAGGUUUUUAGUUAGUGAUGUCUACCCUCCCGCCCAUGGCUCCUCUAAGUAAAGCCAGAAGCGAAUAUCAAAUUGUAAUGAACUUUCUUUGUCAGUAUGUGGGCCUAGUAAACAUGUCUUAAGUGGAUUAAAAAAUCAUCAAGGCAACCCAAGCACAACCAAUUAGGGUUGGGUUUCGAGUAAAACUUGUAUACGUACGUCCCAAGCGCCCUUUUCAUCUUCAAUAUCAAACUGGUGACCAAGGAGUACACUACGUCUGCACAGACGUCUGUGAAUAUUUUUGUGUGCCACAUCCCAAUUCUCAACAUCCCAACACCCCAAUAUUUUUACUCUAGUACAAUUAUACUCUCAAUGUUAUAUUUAUAGUUUUACUUUAAGUAAAUGUACUCAUUUAUUAUGUCAUUUAUGUAUUAUUUUUUCAUUUAUAUCUCCAUCUAUUUUAAUUUUAUAAUGUAAAUAAUGGAACACCUCAUAUUUAAAUACAACAAAAAAUAAUUUUCAAAAGCUAAUUCUAAGUAAAUCAAAAUCUUAUUUUUCAAAUUUAGUUAUAAAUUGAUAGUUUUUGCUAAAUUUUCUUCGAAAAAAAGUUUGCCUAACUAAAAUUAACAAAGAUAAAAAUCCUAAAAAAAAUUAUUUCGAAUAUUACCAACAUGAAAAAUAACAAAAUUCGUCACUUUUUACCUUAAAUUUUGAAACAUUUAAAAAUAAACCUAUUUCUCAUACUUGGUAAAAUUUUUACACAACUAAGACAACAAAUAAGGUGAAUAUGAAAGUUUUCAAUCCAUUAUACCAUUUUAUCUAUUCUCUUAAACAAAAUAAAAUUUAAAAUUGGAAAUUUGUAAAAUAAAGUUUUAUGCUAUUGUUAUUAUUUGAAAAUAUAUAUUUAAUAAUAAUCAUAAAAAAUCUAGUAGUUACGUGUACAUUAGAACUAAAAUUCCUAGAAAUGAGAGUAAAUGCUUAGCAUAUGACAUAUUAUAAUUAAACCAUAAUUUUAGAAUUUGAGAUGUAACAAAUUCAAUAUUAAUUGAUUUUUUUUUCAUCUAGCUUUAGGUUAUUAGAUAGCUUCUAGCUAUAAGAGUAGAUAGGAAUAUAUAUAUACUCGUAGACCACCUAAGAAGGAAUAUUUAUUAUUUGAUUCUUAUCCUAACAGAAGAAGUCCAAUGGGAACAAUACUUGAAAUAGUGAUCCAUAAAAAAAACGCCGAUAUUGAGAUUGGAUAGAACAAGGUUAGAGCCAAAAGGAAUUAUCAAAUAACUUAGUAGAAUUUAUAUGACUACUAUGGAUGGUCCAAUACUUAAUAAACAAGUAUAUCCUCUAGAUGGAAGAAGAUUCUCUUUGAAAGGUAAUUUUGUGCCAUCUACUAGAGCUUGAAGAAUUUCCAAAGGAUCGGCAUGCUCUACGAAUGAAUGGAUUUGAUAAAAUUGGAAAAUGGAAAGAUUUGUAUAAGUUAUACGUUUCAUCACCACUUUGUGGAAAAUCGUUAAGUAUGAAUAUGUUAGAUACUUGUGACUCGAUUGGUGAAAUAGUUUUUGUCACACAAAAAAUAUUUUCUUGUGAAUGAACAAAAUAUUAAGAAAUUGUCCAUAUGUAAAAUCAGAAUUAUUGAUACAGACCUUUUCCAUUCCUAGAAAUGAGAGUAAAUGUUUAACAUAUAACAUAUUAUAUUAUAAACAUUAUGUCAUUAUCCAUUAAUUUACAUUUCAAAUUCUAUAAUCUUAGACUAACCAUUUAAAAUUAUAAUUAAACUAUAGUUUUAGAAUUUAGAAUGUGACAAAUUCAAUAUUAAUUGAUUUAUUUUUUACUUAUGUAGCUUUGGUUAUUGGAUAGCUUCUAGCUAUAACAUAGUCAGGAAUAUAUAUAUAUAUAUAUAUAUAUAUAUAUAUAUAUAUAUAUAUUCAAUAUUCUGCUAUAAAAUUGUGCAAAAUGGUUAAAUUUCAAUUUUGUUAUACAUAACUUUUUAUUUAUACAAUAAAAUUAUAAUUUAUCUAUGUAUAUCUUUUGGCUAUAGACUUGUUGAUUGUCAAUUUUGUUCUAUAUAUAUUUCGUUAUAUAACAUAAUUAGAAUUUUUUUGUAUAGUUUGUAACUAUAUAUAGAAUUGUUGUUUGAUAAUAAAUUUGUUCUCUAUAACUUCUAAUUAUUAUAAAAAAAAAAUUAUAAUUUUUUUUAUAGCUUUUGGUUACAAUAUUUUAAAUUGAUAAUUUUGUUUUGUAUGACUUCUGAUUACACAAAAUAAUAAAAAAUUGUCUACAUAGUUUCUAACUAUAAGAUAAUUGGUAACAAAAAAUUGUGUUCAUAACUUCUAGUUAUGAGUAAAGUAAAUAAACGUUUUAGUAAUAAAAUAAGAAUACCAUAAGAUAUUGUUUUUCAUAUAUCUUUUUCAAAUUAAAUUGUUUGAAGAAAGAAAGAGUGCAUACUUUUCUAGAUAUGAAUGAGUGUUACAAGUAGGCAAAACCUUUUAUGGAUGAAAUCUUCUGUUUUUUUGAACUAGAGUGUCGUGCUAGUAAUGUAUUGUACAAGUAAAAAAGAAAAAGAAAAUUAGAGUGAAUUAUUUAGAGAAAAAAUUCAAAGAAAUUGAACCUUGAAAUUAUCUAACCUUAGCCUUAUUUCAAAGGUUAUAAUUAUAAUGACUAAAGAAAUGCUUUUCUAAUAACUGGGAACAUUAAUUACAAGCAUAUUUGAAAGGUUUAUUAUGCGAAAUUGUGACACUGAUAAAUAUCUUCACCUAUUUAUAACAAAAAUAUACUUUUUCCAAACAAUUUCCAAAUAUUCAAACUGUCGAGAAUGUUUGAAAUUUCUGUGGGAAUUUGAACCAUGCCCUUUUGGACAUUUGAACCUUUCUUGGCCGUUCAAAUGCUGAAUCUGGGAGCAUUUAAUUUGAAUUUACUUCCUACUUCCCUUUCCCGCUUCAACUUUUUUUUUCCAUUUUUCCAAAUCUUUUCAAUUUUAAAAAUCAUAUUUAUGUUUACUAACAAUUGGCCUAAUACAAAAAUAAAACAGUGGCCUAAUGCAUUAUCAAAAAACACUUUCAGAAAUAUCUAUCUUUUGGUACAUAUAAAUACGUACAAUUGAUUCUUCAUGAAAAUAUUUAAGAUGGAAGUAUUAUCAAUAAAAGGGUCAUAUGCUUCUUCACAAAGAUGUAGUGUAAAAAUAUUUACUAUAAAAUUGGCAUGGAUAAAAACAUUACAAAUUCGAAACAUUUUUACCGAAAUCAUUUCAAAAUGGGCAUAAACCUACUCAUGCUCCCCUAAAUAAUUAAAUCCAUGAAAAAAAUGAAACAUCUCUUGAGUUUGGUCCAUUUGCUUGUUGGGAUAUUCUCUCAGCAAACAACUUCGUCACAAAUUAAUUUUCAAUUCAUGAUAAGAAAUAAUUAAGUUAUUUUUUUCUGAAGAUUUCUAGAUGACAUGAUUAAAUGAAUAUACUUAUAUAAUUGAAUAAUAAUAUUAUUAUUAUUAUAAAAACUAUUUUUCAUAUUUUAAAAUAUACACCCUCUUCAUUUUCAUUUCCACCGCCGGGUGCCUGAUUUCCCAAACUCACAUGCUAGAAAGAAGAAAAUCAAGGUUUUUAGUCAGUGAUGCCCGCCCUCCCACCCUUGUCUCCUCUAAGCAAAGCGGUAGGUGAAGAAACUACCCCAUGAGUUUCGUCAAUUUGCACGUGGGCAUAUGAGGCAAGAAAACAUCCAAAGACCACGAUUACCUGAUAGAUACCUUUUGAACGUCUUCCUUACCAUUAUAUUAAACCAUUUUCAUCUUCAAUAUCAAAUUGUACUAGUCUUUCUUUAUGCAUGUAUGGGGCUAGUAAAUGUGUCUCAGGUGGAUUUUAAAAAUGAAGGCAACCCAAGCCCAGCCAAUUGGGGUUGGGUUUCGAGUAAAACUCGUACACAUACGUCGUACGUGUCCUUUUCAGAUUUUCCUCACUGGUCACCCACCCACCGAGGAGCACAAUACGUCUGCACAUACGUGUGCAAAAAAACUCAUCAUCUAACCGUGGAUUCCUGUCGCUGUUGACUCCACCACUAUCUCUAUGCCUAUAAAAUACUCACUUGGUUUGAACCAAUGUCCACAGAGCAGAUCGUCAUUUGGUGUGAGCUUGAGAAAAUUAACACAGAGGCAGCUUUUGAGUUAAUUUGCAGAUUACAUGACCACUGGAAAGUUGAGGAACCUUUUGGAAGGGCUGAAGCCAGCCAUGACAAUGGUGGUAGUUCAGAUAAUAUUUGGAGGGCUAAAUAUUAUGUACAAACUGGCUAGAAAUGAUGGCAUGAGCAUGAAGAUUUUGGUCGCCUACCGAAAUAUCUUUGCAACAGCUAUUAUGGUUCCACUUGCUCUAAUCUUUGAAGGGUGAUUCUUAUUAAUCUUGUCUUUUUUUUUUUUUUCCGCAUCUUUAAUUUAGUUUCAUCACUCAGGAACCAAAUGAUAUUAGUUUUAUCUUUCAUUCACUCUUUUCAAAUUUAUGGUGAACUGUAAUUAAAAGUGUAUUAUAAUUUUAACAGGAAGAGUAGGCCAAAACUGACAUGGAUGAUCUUCCUCCAGGGCUCAUUGUGUGGAUUAUUUGGGUAAGUCUAAUGAUUAAUUAGAAAAUAUCUUUUUAUGUAUAUAUAUACACAUUAAGAAAUAUCUUUAAUUCCUUCAAUGCUCUAUCUUGUUUGUAAAUGACUUUGCAGGGGUGCGGUUCUUAUAGAGUAAUUUUACUCCAUGUCUUCAUAUUUAUGAUAUGAUAUGUUUUCAAUAAUAUUUUAUCGUACCCUUCUUAUGCAUAAAAAUUUAUUAAAUAUUCUUAUAUUUUCUGACAUAAACUUUGAUUGCAGAGGGUCAUUAGGUCAAAAUUUAUAUGCCGAGAGCCUAAGCUUAACGUCAGCAACAUUUGUAGCGGCAAUGACAAACCUGGUUCCAGCUAUGACAUUUGUCAUGGCAGUUUUCUUAAGGUAUUUUUUUAUUUAUUUAUUUCCUACUGAUAUUUUAGUACUAAAAUUUAUAGUAUUACACAUUUAAGUUUCUUAAGGAACAAAUGCUAAACCCUAGUCCUAUUUUCUUCUAGGAUGGAGAGAUUAGCAAUUGGAACAAUUGCGGGAAAAGCUAAGUUAAUGGGGACUAUAAUGAGCCUAGGUGGUGCAAUGAUUCUAACAUUUUACAAAGGAGUAGAGAUCAAGUUAUGGUCAACCAACAUCAACCUACUACAUCAUGGUGCUGCAGCAUUACAAGAGUCGUCUCCUAAUCAAGUGUUGGGCUCACUAUUGGCUGUGGCUAGUUGUGUCUGUAUUGCAGUUUGGUUGAUAGUCCAGGUGAUCAAGGUUCAGGUUUUCUUUUUUCUUCAAAUGAUAAAUUAAAUACCUUUACUGAAAUUGCUCUCGUAUUUUGGUUUUUCUUCUUUUAUUUGGACAGACUAAGAUGAGCAUGGUAUAUCCAAGCUACUCCGGAACUGAUCUAAUGUGUGUUUGUGCAUCAAUUCAAUCGGUUGUAUAUGCCAUGUGCACUGAGAGGGACUGGUCCGCAUGGAAACUUGGUUGGGACAUUAGGCUUCUCACUGUUGUUUACUCAGUAAGAUAUUUCUUGAAAAUUUUAUAUAAUUCAAUGAAAUGUGAGAAGAAUAAAGAUUUUUUAACAAAGUAUUGAUUGACAUUCAAUUUCUCUUCCAUUCAAACGAUAUUGAGAAAUCGUUUAUGAAUAUGUUAACUUAGUGGAUGAUUUUGAGUUAUAACAAGUAGAAUUUGUUGUAUUGCAGGGAGUGUUGGCCUCUGGAUUAAUGGUUACACUAAUGACCUGGGUUUCAAGGAUGAGAGGCCCAUUGUUCGUAUCUUCUUUCUUUCCCUUAAUGCUUGCAACCGUUGCAAUACUUGGGUCACUCUUACUCCACGAACAGCUACAUAUAGGAAGGUUUGAAUAUUCAAAUUAAAACCACCUUACCUUCAAAGAUUUCAUUUGUGCUCUGACAUUAAUUCUUGGUACCUAUUUUUAUAACAGCAUAAUUGCAGCAGUGUUGAUCAUAGUGGGCUUGUAUAUUGUUUUAUAGGGAAAAGGCAAGGAAAUGAAGCAGACCGCCCAAAUCCAUGCAGCACAAAGCUUUAGCGAAAAAGAUCUGAGACAUAUUGUCAUAGAAAAUUCAAGUAACAGUGAGUGUAAACCAGAAGCAAGUGGUAUUAUUGGUCCCAUUGAACCUGCUGACCUAGGAUCUGGACUGCCAUCUGCAGCUGCAGUGGUGACAAUUGUAUGUGAGAUCUUAAGGCCAAUUUUGACCUAAUGGACUAGGUCCCCGUAGUGGGAUUGACAACUACUCAAGCCCAUCGAAACUAAGGUUGCCCUUGGGGGGAAACUUUCCUUUUCAGACCUCAACACGUCUGAAUUAAUGUUUGUAAGCAUUCGCAACUUCAAUGGAUGCCUCUUUCGUACUGUACUCAACAUCUGCUUGGGCUACUCUUAGGAAUCUUUGAGUUGCACCGGAAGUUUUAAUACUAUACAUUAAUACAAUAAUCCAAAGAUGAAAUUAUUUACUCAUAACCAUAUGUUUGUACCAACGGAUGAAGCUGAAAGUGCUCAAGCACGGAUUUAGCAAGAAUAAGGAGUUUAUUCUAUUCACAACAUGAUUGUACAGUAGAUCAAUAGCUAUAUAUAUAUAUAUUACAGCAUCUAACUAAUGUAACCACUUUCUAACUCAGCAUAACAGCAUCUGUUAGAGAAGACUCAGCAUAACAGCAUCUGUUAGAGAGGAGAAGAAUCAGCUACUGACAUGGGUGUUUGUCUAUCAUCCCCCCGCAAGCUGACAGGUCUUGGGACAACAGAGAGACGAGUACGAGCAGCUGAGAACUGACAGCUUGGAACAUGCUUAGUAAAGACAUCUGCCAACUGGUCGGUAGAAGGAACAUAUUGAAUCAAAAGCUCUUUGUGGAGGACCUUAUCACGAACAAAGUGAAGAUCAAUCUCUAUGUGCUUCGAGCGGGCAUGGAAGACAGAGUUAGCUGCAAGAGCAGUAGCACUGAUAUUAUCACACCAGAUCAGAGGAGUGUCCUGUUGAGGAAUGCAUAACUCUUUGAGCAGAAACUGAACCCAAGAGACCUCAACUGCGAGAAGAGCAAGUACCCAAUACUCCGAUUCUACACUACUACGAGAGACAACACGUUGCUUGGUGGAGGACCAUGAGAUGAGAUUGGUGCCAAAAAAAAGACAAAAGCCACUGGUGCUUCUUCUAUCAUCGGGACAUGACGCCCAAUCUGCAUCGGUAUAUCCUUGAAGAGACAAAGAUGGUGAGGCAUGGAUAGAAAUACCAUGAGUAGCAGUACCUUUGAGAUAGCGGAGUAUACGUUUAGCAGCUUGCAAAUGAGAAGUGGUAGGAUGAGCCAUGUAUUGACAAGCUCGAUUCACUGCAAAUGAGAUUUCUGGUCGUGUGAGAGUGAUGUACUGAAGAGCACCCACAAGACUACGGUAGUGAGUAGCAUCAAGAGCGGAUAAAGGUUCUCUAUCUACUGCUGAUAACAAUUUUCCCAAGGCACCAGGUGUGCUAGCAGAUUUGGCCCCAUGAAGAUUAGCACGCUCAAGUAGCUGAUGUAUGUAGCGUUGUUGAUUGAGAUGAAGAGCAUGAGAAAGCCGAGUGACUUCAAUGCCAAGAAAGUAGCUAAUAUCCCCAAGGUCCCGAAGAGCAAAAUGGGAGCUAAGUUGAGAAAUGAUUUGAUGGACCCGUGAUGGAUUGCUGCCAGUAAUGAGAAUAUCAUCCACAUAGAUUAAUAGGAUGAUAAUAUCAGAUGCAGAGUGGAAAUAAAAUAAAGAUGCAUCAGCCCUUGAGCAUUGGAAUCCAAUCUGUAAGACAAAGGAGCUAAGCUUGUGGAACUAGGCUCGAGGCGCUUGUUUAAGGCCAUAGAGAGCCUUCUGUAGACGACAAACAUGAGUGGGGCAAGAGCUAUCUUCAAAGCCUGGAGGUUGCAUCAUAAACACCUGUUCUUGAAGAUCCCCAUUUAAAAAAGCAUUGUGGACAUCUAGUUGUUUAAUAGGCCAGUUGGAAGAGACCGCAAUAGAGAGAACAAGCCUGAUAGUGCAAGGCUUCACGACUGGACUGAAUGUCUCAAAAAAAUCGAUGCCAUAGGUUUGAUGAAAACCUUGGGCAACCAGCCGAGCUUUGUACUUGUCAAUGUUGCCAUUAGGUUUAUGUUUGAGUUUGAAGACCCAUUUACACCCAAUAAUUUUGGCAUUAGACGGAGGUGGCACCAGAGACCAAGUUUGAUUCUUCAAUAGAGCCUGAUAUUCUUGUUCCAUAGCAAGCUUCCAGUUGGGGUCUUGAAGAGCCUGCUUAACAGUACGUGGCUCAAUUGUGAGUGAGGUAAGAUAGGUCUUCUUUUUGCAUAUACCAGAUUUGGAUCUGGUAAUCAUAAGAUGGCCAGGAAUUGGAACUGUUGAAUCCUGGAGUGGAGUAGUAGGAAUUUCAGCUGCUUCAUCCACAAAUGGCACCUGAAUGAGUGGGGGUACAGACAAAGAGCUGGCUGGAGGUGAUGUGGGGGCAGGUUCGGAUGGGGUAGCCGGAGGAGAGCUGGUUGUGGGUGGAAAGAGAAUAGGAGUUGGAGGAAGAGGAAAUGCUAGAGUGACAGGAAUGUGAUAUGAUUGUUGGGAAGGAGGACUCAAUGCCUGAAAUGGAAAUGUAGUCUCUGCAAAUACUACAUGCCUAGAGAUAUACACUCUGUCAGUUGUAGGAUUGAGGCAAAGAUAACCCUUGUGAGAUGUUGCAUAACCAAGAAAGAUACAUAGUGUGGAUCGUGGCUGAAUUUGUUGGAGUUGAGAUGUUUGAGGUGUGGAUAACAAAGGCAACCAAAGACUUUGAAAUGGAAAUAAUUAGGUGGGUGUUUGUAAAGAAGAGAAAAUGGGGAGCUGUAAUUGAGUAAAGGAGAAGGCAUGCAAUUGAUAAGGGUAACUGCUGUGGUGAAAGCAUAGGGCCAAAAUUUGGAUGGAAGGGUAGCUGUGUAAAGAAAAGUGAGCCCUGUUUCUACAACAUGGCGCAUUUUGCGUUCUACUCGGCCAUUUUGUUCAGGUGUAUAAGGGCAGGAAAAUCUAUGGAGUAUACCAUGAAGAGAUAAAAACUUGGUAAGGGCAAUGAACUCUCCACCAUGGUCUGUUUGAAGGCAUUUAAUGGUCGUUUGAAAUUGGUUUUCAACAAGAGUUUUAAAUUGGACAAAAGUGGAGUGAACCUGAUCCUUGGUGGGGAGCAAAUAAAACCAUACAAACCUAGAGUAAUCAUCCAUGAGCAACAGAAAAUACCGGGCACCUGUGGAGGAAGGAACAGGUGCUGGUCCCCACAAGUCUGCAUGGAUGAGUUCAAGAGGAGAGGAGGCCCGGGAAGUGGACAAAGAAAAAGGAACUUUGUGACUUUUGGCACAACAACAAGCAUUGCAAACAUCAACUGUUUUAUUUGAGUUAUGUGAAAUAUUACAUGUAUGAAAAUUUUUCUAAAGUAUUACAGUAGAAGGGUGGCCAAAUCGUUGAUGCCACAGCAUAGUAGUGGGCUGAGUUUUUGUGAGAAAUACUUGAUGUUUAGGACUGGCAGUAGGUGAACUAAUAGAUGAGGUAGGAAACUUGUAGAGUCCACAUUCAAGUUGGCCUUGGAGGAGAGUCACUUUGGUGUCCUUGUCCUUGACAAAAAAUGAAGAAGGAUGAAAUUCCAGAAUGGUAUUAUUGUCAGUACAAAAUUUGGACACACUGAUGAGAUUUGAAGUGAGUUGUGGAACAUGGAGCACAUUGUGUAAGACAAAGGGUUUGGCAGAAGUGUGGAGAAAGGAAUGACCAACUUGGGUUAUGGGUAGAGACUUACUAUUGCCAACCAUCACAGAGUCAGCACCAUUGUAGGGAGUACCAUUGUGGAUAUUAGCAGCCGUGUGGGAGAGAUGGUGGGUGGCGCCUGAAUCCAUCAUGGUGAGAGAGCCUUUUUUGGUUGUUUGAAAAGCAAGUCUCAACUACAUUGUUCUUGCUUUGGUGGAAGCAAAAAAACUUCGUUGGAGGGUUGUCCAUGCUUCAUGGGAUGUUUGUAGCCCAACAAUUUGGCCCAUAACAUCUGGGGUGAGAGAGAAGUAGAUCCAACUCAAGAUCAUACGGUCAUAUCUCCUCCAAACCAGAAAAUCUGGGUUCAUUUCACCGGUGGAUAUUGUUUUUGGAGGACAUGGUCUCAGACCUUCAAUAUGGUCCUCAAAUCCAUUGGCAUAUAUCACAUUUUCCAUUUGUGUAUGUCAAAGGAUAUGAUUAUCUCUAUCUAGUUUGAUAGAUAGAGGAUGAUUCAGCAUGCUCAUGUUCAGGGUAGGGGUUACGUGAGAAGAGACAAUCUUCGACGUGGUCUGUGUUGAUGAAGCCAUCGGAGUAGGUACAGUAUGUUCUUGAAGUGAGUAAGCAAAGAUCAGAAGAAAGUUGCAGCAGAAAGUGUUGCUGGAGAUUUCUUAAUUGUCAUGCUGGGAGAGAAAUCAGAAAAAAAAAAAAAAAAAAAUUCAGGAGCCUAUGGCUCUGAUACCAUGAAAGUGCUCAAGCACGGAUUUAGCAAGAAUAAGGAGUUUAUUCUAUUCACAACAUGAUUGUACAGUAGAUCAAUAGCUAUAUAUAUAUAUAUAUAUAUAUAUAUAUAUAUAUAUUACAGCAUCUAACUAAUAUAACCACUUUCUAACUCAGCAUAACAACAUUUGUUAGAGAAGACUCAGCAUAAUAGGAUCUGUCAGAGAGGAGAAGAAUCAGCUACUGACAUGGGUGUUUGUCUAUCAGAAGCCUUGAUCACUUAUUGUGUAAGUAAAAGUUUUAAUCCUCACAUACUCAAAAAAGAAAACAAAGAUAAAAUAAUCCUUGUACAUGGAUAUACAAGGUUUUAAUGUGAUUCAAUAUCAUGCCCAAAUUUGUUGAUAAGAGAAAAUCAUUCCAAUAUUCCAUAAAGAUUAUUAUAUAGGAUGGAAGAACACAUACAAUUAAGUUUUGAAACAUCCUAUGUUUCUACAUUCCUUAUGUCUAUACCAUGAGUCAUGAGUUUUAUAGGUAGAAUCAUUAAUACUAAUAUAAUAGAAAAAGAACACGAAGAUGAAACAAUCACACAUAAAGAUACGUAAGGUUUUAAUGUGGAUCAAGCAACCAUGUCUAAAUCCAUGGAUGAGAGAAAAUAAUUAUACUAUACCAUAGAAAAUAUUAUAAAGGACAAAAAAAUAAAGCUUGAAACAUUUCAUGUCUCCCAUUCAUCUCUAUGUUAUUACUAUGCAUUUUUUGUAUCAUAAGCCCUUCUUCUUGUCUUUUCAUUGAACAAAUUUCCCUUUACAAGCUCCAUAGACAAUGCACCAUUCAGAACAAAGUUGCUAAUAGUUACAACAAAAGUUUCCCAACUGUCUGGUAGUAAACACAACAUAGAUGCUUGCAUCUCAUAAUUGAUAACCAUUUUCAUAGUAGCCAACUGAUUAACAAUACUUUGAAAAACAUUCAAGUGAUCUAUCAUUAGUGUUCUUUCCUUGAGCUUCAUAUUCGUCAACUUCUUUAAUAAGAAAAUUUUAUUCCCAACAGUUUUUUGUACGAACACUCAUUCCAAUUUCUUCCAGAGAUUAUAGGCAUUUGUUUCAUUUGCCACAUGAUGAUGUGAGGAUGUGUCAAUCCAUUGCCUAAUAUAGGCAAUUGCCUUUUUGUUUAUCUUAUUCCAUUCCAAAUCAGAAAUAUCUUUGGGUCUAACUUCUUCACCCUCAAGAUUAUUUGAAAAAACUUUAAUGGUGAAAAAAUCUUCCUUCAUGGACUUCCAUAUAGCCCAAUUUGAAUUAUUAAGUUUUAUCAUGGAGGUUGAGUUCCUUUCUAUCUCCAUUCCUUCCAAGAAUAAAAGUUCCGCAACCAGACUUUGAUACCACUUGUUGGGAAGAUAAAGGGAGAGAUUUAGAGUAUUAACCUGCCAAGGUUAAAAGAUUCCUCCACAAUAAUAACUACCUUUCAAGAAUAAUAACCCAAUAAAAAUCAAGAGUGACAAUCAAGAACAUUCAACCACAAAAGAGGACAUCAAAUAUAACGUGGAAAAACCCUCUGGAUAGAGGUAAAAAAACCAUAGAGAAAAUUUCUUCCACUUCAAUAAAUGGGGAUACAAUAAUUAAGUUCUGACUUGAGGUGGGAAUUCAUCACCCUAGGAAACAUGAACAGAAAAAAAUCAGGGAGAAAAUAUACCACAAGAAUUCCCCAAAAGUUUGAUGAAAGGAACCUGUAACUUCACCCUUGAGCCCUAGAACAAUGACUAGAAAAACCACCUUGAUCUUCUUUCAUUUUCUCAAUCAAAUGCCCUUCUCUCUCAUAAUAUCAAAACCCUAAUGCUAUUUAUAUAUCCAUAUUUGGGCUUAGGGAAUACCCAAAUAUAAAAUAGCCUAAUAUAUGGGCUCAUGGGCUGGACAAACAUAGUCCAACAGAUCAUAGUGGGCUUGUAUAUCGUUUCAUGGGGAAAAGGCAAGGAGAUGAAACAGACCGCCCAAGUCCAUGGAGCAAAAAGCUUUAGCGAACAAGAAUUGAGACAUAUUGUCAUAGAAAAUUCAUUUAACAGUGAGUGUAAACCAGCAGCAAGUGGUAUUAUUGUUCCCAUUGAAUCUGCGGACCUAGGAUCUGGUGUGCCAUCUGCAGCUGCAGUGGUGCCUGAAUAAUGUCGCAGGGAAAUUGCUUGUGUUGUUGAUGUUGUUCAAUGUAUAUUAGAAAUUCAUUUCUGUUCAUUAAAAUCUUUUACAAACAAUGUUCCUCUAUUUUUUUCUUAAUUUCUGACAUUUACUGGUAGCAAAUGAGUAAUAUUAAUGCAACUAUCGCUAUUCAUUAACAGUGUCUUCAAUGAAUAAAACGUAAAAAGAUGUGUGAAAAUAAAUUAAGCUAAGAAUAGUGGGAUCAUCAAACAACUCUAAUAGACAACAUGGUGGAGUCAACAAUAAUGAUGGGUACACACCUAACGGUUGCUUGGUAUAAUGGCCGAGAGUGUGUUUAAAGGGUGGAAUAUGCUUAUCUUUAAAAGCUAGUUGGUUAUUUUCGGCCACCAAUUUUCUUAAAGCUUAAACUUUUUAGAUUUUGGCGUACAUGUAUUUAUAUUAUGCUUCUCACAUCCCCUCUUUCUAUGAUUUGAGUUUUNNNNNNNNNNNNNNNNNNNNNNNNNNNNNNNNNNNNNNNNNNNNNNNNNNNNNNNNNNNNNNNNNNNNNNNNNNNNNNNNNNNNNNNNNNNNNNNNNNNNAUCGGUGCUCUAAUUAAUUAGAUAUAUCAUAUUGAAGUUAUUAUCUCAAUCUAUUUAUUUGUCCAAUUAUUUGUGAUUAUAAAUGUACAAUUUUUAUGUAGCUUUGUUAAUGCUCAUGUCUAAUUAUCUAUAAUUAAACAUGAGAUUUGUAUAGUGAGUAAUUAUCUUUAAUCACAUAUGUACAAUGGAUAUAGAGUCGCACAUAAAAGAAGGUGAAUAUGCCUAAUUAUUUGUGAUCACAAAUGUGUGAUUUAGGUGGUGUUUAUUUUUUUAAACUUUUUUUAAAAGCAAUUUACUUUUAGAUUUUAUAUUGUUUAUUCUUUUACUUUUUGUUGACUUAAUACUUAUUUCAGAUUUUUUUUAUUGAAUAGAAAAAGAUAAAAUAUUUAACUUUUUCUAAAUAUUAAGAAAAAUAUGUUGAUUUUUUUUUAUUGUUUCAUAUUUAAUAGAAAUAAAAUAUUAAAAAAUAAAUAACUUAAUUAUUAACAUUAUUAAAUAUUAUUUAAUUUUAAAUUCUAUUUAAGAAUUGAGUGAAAAAAGCAAAGCAACACUUUACUAUUGUUAGCGGCCGGUGCACAGCUAUUACUAUCUAGGCCACAUGUAAUAGUUGUUGAGAGUUCCAACAAGAAGAAUAUCUUGUAGUGAUAUACCUCUCUUAAAAGGGAAUAUCUUUGUAGUAGAGAAAAGUACUCAAGAAAAUUCAAACAGAUUUAUGACAACCUUGUAGCCAUCGACAAGCCAACAUUCGAGCUUGAUAAAGUAAGUCAAUUUGCUAGAGCACUGGAGGCAAAGUAUCAAGAAUUCCAAUGGACGUUUCAACCCGAUGGACAGUCUUAAUCUUGCAAGCAAGUUCAACAUGCUUGAUACUCCUAAAAAUUCAAUUCGAAUGACCUGUAGUAAUGGUCUGAAACCCAUCUAGAAAACAAUCUUCAUCCACAUUCUCAAUGACACUUUUCUGACUGAGCAAAGCAAUCAGUGAUGGAACUUCCUCGUGUGUUCUGUUCAUAUUAUGCUAGUAAAUUUCGAAAGGGAACUAGAAAAAUUAAGACCACAUUCACACUGCCGACUUUUUAAACGUGUUCCUUAGUUUUUUAGUCUUCAAAUAAUUGAUGUUUUAAAAAAUUAUAUUCAUGCUCAAUAUCAAAUUGGCCUGCUCUUUCUUUGCGCAUGUUAGAAAUCACAAAACUAACACCUACCAUCCACUAAGCCAAGCCAUGGCCAAUGAAACUCCCCAGUCAUUAAUCUAGUUCCUCCACUAGUGUGCAUGAGGCCAACCAACCUGUAACAAAUGUGUUUGAGAAAUUAAUGCCAAUUUUGACCUAAUGGACUAAGUUCCCGUAAUGGGAUUGACAACUACUCCAGACCAUCGAAACUAAGGUGGCCCUUGGGAGGAAACUUUCCUUUUCAGACCUCAUCCAAGAACGUUUGUAGGCAUGCUCAACUUCAAUGGAUUCCUCUUACGUACUACACUCAACGUCUGCUUAGGCUACUCUUAGAAAUCUUUGAGUUGCACCGAAGUUUUUAUACCAUACAUUAAUACAAUAAUUUAAAGAUGAAAUCAUUUACUCAUAACGGUAUGUUGUACCAACGGAUGAAGCCUUGAUAACUUAUUGUGUAGGCAAAAGUUUUAAUACUAACACAUUAGAAAAGGAAAACGCAAAUAAAAUAAUCUAUAUACAAAGAUAUAUGAGGUUUUAGCAUGAUUCAAUAUCAUACCUAAAUUUGUUGAUAAGAGAAAAUCAUUUCAUUAUUCCAUAGAAAAUAUUUUAUAAGACAAAAAAACACAUAAUUAUUAAGCCUUCAAACAUCCUAUGUUUUUACACUCUUGUGUCUAUACCAUGAAUCACGAGCUAUAAUAGAAUUUGUUGUGUAGGCAAAAUCUUUUAAUACUAACAUUGUAUAAAAAGAACACGAAGAUAAAACAAUCUACACAAAGAUAAUUGAGAUUUUAAUGUGAUUUAAGCAACCAUGCUUAUACCCAUAAGUGAUAGAAAAUCAUUCUAUUAUAUCAUAGAAAAUAUUAUAGAAGACAAAAGAAUAAAACCUUGAAACAUACCAUGUCUCCCAUUCAUCUUUACCUCAUUACUGUUUUCUCAUCAUGAAUUAUAAUAUUUAUAAAGAUAUUUAUAAUGUACUAAUUCUACAUAAAAAAAAUCAAAUAAUACAAUGAUAUAUCAAUAUAGGAAAUAUUCUAUAUAGUAUUUGCAACAAAAAGGAAUAUAUACCAUAUAGACCCACAAAUGAAAGAACAUCAAUUCUCUACAUUAUAAAGAAGUUAUAGAGAAAUGAUAAAAUAGACACAAGUUAUAGAUCUUGAAACAAUUUCAUGUUUUCUUACCCCCAAUAUCUACACCUUGAAUGACAAGCCCUCACUCUAUUAGGCAUUUUCACUCUUCUUUACAUCUUGACCCACUCGGUAUAUGCUUUAUAGGUCUUAUCCUGAUCUUGUAAUUAACUUUUUGUCUCCAUGACUUAAAGUGCUUAUAGAUAUAUUCCUAACCUCUUUCUUAUGAUACAAAGAUAUCUAGUAUAACAAAGAAAUAUUAAGUCAAUCUUCUAUCUCUUCAUGACAAACACCUCAAUUGUACACAAGUUAGAAUUUUAAAGCAACUAGACUAAGAUUUAUAUGGUGUUGGAAAUAGAGAUAAGCUUAAAACAUAAAAGUAUAGCACAACAUAUAUUUCAUACUUCAAGUGCUUAACAACCAAGUAAGAAGGUAAAUGGAUAAUCCUUACUUCCUCAAUCUGUGAAUUCUUUUAUAUCAUUUGCAUUUAAUCCUAUAAUAUACCUUUGUGAUAUUCACCACAUCAUGAAAGACAUUUUAUGUAUUGAUGAUUGUCCAUAAUUCUUUGUUGUUCAAAAUAAUAAGUUUAAAUUCAAAGCAACUCUAGCCGACAAAAACUAAAAAAAGUAUCACUACCACUUGUAUGGUACUCUGGGUAUUAUCCUUAAGGACUAAAUUAUGGAUGAUAAUGAUGUUAGGUCAAGGGGAUUUACUAUUACCUAAAUUGUAAAGUAAAAAUAUUGAGAAUUGAUUUACUUAAAUUAAGGGUAGUUGGAAUAAUCCUAAUUACUAAUAAAAUUGAAUGUUAAUUUCUAACUCAAUAAUCUAGUUCCUUCACUAGUAUGCAUGAGGCCAACCAUUGUGUGACAAUUGUAUGUGAGAUCUUAAGGCCAACUUUGACCUAAUGGACUAGGUUCCCGUGAUGGGAUUGACAACUACUCAAGCCCAUCGAAACUAAGGUUGCCCUUGGGGGGAAACUUUCCUUUUCAGACCUCAACACGUCUGAAUUGAUGUUUGUAAGCAUUCGCAACUUCAAUGGAUGCCUCUUUCGUACUGUACUCAACAUCUGCUUGGUCUACUCUUAGGAAUCUUUGAGUUGCACCGGAAGUUUUAAUACUAUACAUUAAUACAAUAAUCCAAAGAUGAAAUCAAUUUAUUACUAACAUUGGUUGGGCCUUAUAUGUAUCCUCUACUCCCUACUAGCUUAGGCUUUUUGGAGUGUAUGUGGUCGCACAUCAUUUGGUAUUAGGGCGAGGUUUAACCUAGCUCACCUUAUACUCGCUAAUGUAGGUAUCAACAAAUGAGUGGGGAGUGUCUAAUGUAGGAUGGACAAACAAUGACCCACAUCAAUAGAUUACUAAUAUUGGUUGGACCUCAUAUGUGGGGUUGCCUCUACCCCCAAUUAUCUUAGAUUUUUAGGAGUGUAUGUAUUGCAACAUGUGUGAGGCAUUCUUGUUUUUGUGAAUCUUUUUCAACUAGUUGCAUUUUCUUCAACCAUAUCUCACAACCACUUGAACACCCCUUUGUUUUUCAAUGAUUUUCUUCUUUUAGGAAGUUGUACCAACUCAUAGUUUUCAUUUUUCUACAACGAAUCCAUCUCAUCUUGCAUGGCUUCCUGAAAACUUUGUGGGUCCCCCUCAUCAAUUACUAACAUGUACUCAAAAGAGGGAUAUCUAGUAGAGGGAUGAUGCUCUCUAGUAGACCUCCUAACUUAAUUGGGAUAUCAAAUCCUCCUACCCCCCUGCUCCUCAUGCUCAACUAGCUCCUAUGCAAGUAUGUCACUUGCACUAUCAUCUCUUGGUAGCUUAUCAAUUUACUCUUCAUUUUUGGACUGCUCUAAUGAUAGAGGAAUAUGUACCAACUCAAUAAAGUCAUCACUUAUACCUUUAUAUUGAUUAGUUCUGUCAAAAUCUCCCAAGGUCUAAUCCUCUUAGAAGACCACAUCUCUAUUUCUCACCAAUUUCUUCUUAGUUGGAUCUCACAAUCUAAAUCCAAACUCUUCAUCACCAUACCUAACAAAGACAUGUGGAACUGCCUUAUCAUCAAGUUUGGAUAUCUAUUUAUUAGGAACAUGCACAAAGUUUUACACCAAAAAAACCCUUCAGUAUGAAUAGCAAACAUUUUUUCCUGUCCAUGCUUUCUCUGGAACCUCAAAGUUCAAUGGAUCUGAUGGAAAUUUGUUUAUCAAAUAGCAAGCAGUCUGAGCAGCUUCAUCCCAAAACACCUUAGGUAGCUUUGUAGUCUUCAGCAUACACCUAACCUUCUCAAUGAUGGUGUGAUUCAUCAUUUCAACCACACCAUUAUGCUAUGGAGUGCCAAGAACUAUUUUCUUAUGCCUUAUACCAUUCUUAGUGCAAUAAGUUUCAAACUCCCUUGAGGUGUACUCACCUCCAUUAUAAGACUUGAAACACUUCAAUUUUCUUCCAAUCUCUUUUUUAACCAUGGCAUGAAACUAUAGAAAAUAUUGAAAGACUUGAUCCUUUGAUCUAAAUAAACAAAUCCAUACCUUCCUGAUAGCAUCAUCGAUGAAAGUUACUAAGUAGCUAUUUCCUCCAAGAGUUUCCACAUCCAUAGGGCCACAUACAUCAAAGUAUAUGAACUCUAACUUCUCUAACUUCUUCUUAGAUCUGUUACUAAAGGAAACCUUAUGUUGUUUUCCAACCAGGCAAUGAUUACAAGAAGACAAUGAUUCAUUUUUGGCCAAGGGAAUUAAGGACUUCCUUGCCAAGACUUGCAAUCCUUUCUUACUCAUAUGCCCCAACCUUUUAUGCCACAACUCCAAGGAAGUACCCUCUAUGACAUGUAACUCAUUAUUACAAACUUUCCCUUGGGUCUUGUACAAAGUGCAACAUGCUUCUCCUUUUGAAACAACCAAUGAGCCUUUAGUAAGCUUCCAUUUGCCUUUGCCAAAGUGGUUUUCAUAACCUUGCUUGUCUAAGGCAAAACCUGACAUCAGAUUAAGGCAUAAAUCUGGAACAUGCCUUACAUCUUUCAAGGUCAACUUAUACUCCAUAUUGGUUUCAAGGCAAACAUCACCUAUCCCUACAAUCUUGGAGUGACUAGAGUUUCCCAUUUUGACUAUGCCAAAGUCUUAAACUCUAUAAUCAAAAAACAACUCCAAGUGGCGAGUAGCAUGGUAGGAGGCUACAGUGUCUACAAUCCACUCAACUCAUUCCUCAUCUACAUGCAAACACUUAUUUGAGAGCACUAAAACUUCAUCAUUGUUGGAUAUAGAGGCUGUGACAUUCUUGUCAUCUUCUUUUUCUUGAUUAUGUCCUAUCAUAUUCCCUUUUCUGAAUCCGACAUUUCAUUUUCAUAUGUUCCUCUUUUCCACAAUGGAAGCAUUUGAUUUUAUCUCUGGAUUGGGACCUUCCCUCAAACUUGUCAUGACCUUUCUAUCCUCUAUUCUUGUUUCUUCCUCUACUUUCUGUGAUGAGGGUCUAUGCAUUUUCUGUCUCAUAAGCCUUUCUUCUUGUGUCUUCAUUGAAUAAAUUUCCCUUCACAAGCUCCAUAGACAAUGCCCCAUUCAGAACAUAGUUGUUAAUAGUCACAACAAAAGUUUCCCAAUUAUCUGGUAGUAAAAACAACAACAAAGAUGCUUGCAUUUCAUUAUCGAUAACCAUUUUCAUGGCAGCCAACUGAUUAACAAUACUCUGAAAAGCAUUCAAGUGAUCUAUCAUUAGUUUUCCUUCCUUUAACUUCAUAUUUACCAACUUCUUUAAUAAAUUUUUUUUAUUCACAACAGUUUUUUUGUUCAAACACUGAUUCCAAUUUCUUCCAGAGAUUAUAAGCAUUUGUUUCAUUUGCCACAUGAUGAUGUGAGGAUGUGUCAAUCCAUUGCCUAAUAUAGGCAAUUGCCUUUUUGUUCAUCUUAUUCCAUUCCAAAUUAGAAAUAUCUUUGGGUUUGGCUUUUUCACCCUCAAGAUUAUUCUUUAAUGGUGAAAAAAUCUUCCAUCAUGGACUUCCACAUAGCCUAAUUUGAAUUAUUAAGUUUUAUCAUGGAGGUUGAGUUCCCUUCUAUCUCCAUCCCUUUCAAGAAUAAAAGUUCCAUAACCAGGCUUUGAUACCACUUGUUAGGAGGAUAAAGGGAGAGAUUUAGAGUAUUAACUUGCUAAGGUUUAAAGAUUCCUCCACAAUAAUAACCACCUCUUAAGAAUAAUAACCCAACAAGAAUCAAGAUUGACAAUCAAGAACAUUCAACCACAAAAGAGGACAUUUUCCACCCUCUGGAUAGAGGUAAAAAAACCAUUGAGAAAAUUUCUUCCACUUCAAUAAAUGGGGUUACAAUAAUUAAGUUCUGACUUGAGGUGGGAAUCCAUCACCCUAGGAAACACGAACAGAAAAAAAUGAGGGAGAAAAUAUACCACAAGAAUUCCCCAAAAGGUUGAUGAAAGGAACCUGUAAUUCACCCUUGAGCCCUAGAACAAUGCCUAGAAAAACAACCUUGAUCUUCUUUCCUUUUCUCAAUCAAAUGCCAUUCUCUCUCAUAAUACCAAAACCCUAAUGUUAUUUAUAUAUCCAUAUUUGGGCUUAGGGAAUACCCAAAUAUAAAAUAGCCUAAUAUAUGGGCUCAUGGGCUGGACAAGCAUAGCCCAACAGAUCAUAGUGGGCUUGUAUAUCGUUUCAUGGGGAAAAGGCAAGGAGAUGAAACAGACCGCCCAAGUCCAUGGAGCAAAAAGCUUUAGCGAACAAGAACUGAGACAUAUUGUCAUAGAAAAUUCAUUUAACAGUGAGUGUAAACUAGCAGCAAGUGGUAUUAUUGUUCCCAUUGAAUCUGCUGACCUAGGAUCUGGUGUGCCAUCUGCAGCUGCAGUGGUGCCUGAAUAAUGUCGCAGUCGUAGCUUCCAUACAAAAUUGGCAGAGAAAAGGAAAUUGAUUGUGCUGUUGAUGUUGUUCAAUGUAUAUUAGAAAUUCAUUUCUGUUCAUUAAAAUAUUUUACUAACAAUGUUCCUCUAUUUUUCUCUAAAUUCUGACAUUUACUGGUAGCAAAUGAGUAAUAUUAAUGCAACUAUCGCUAUUCAUUAACAGUGUCUUCAAUGAAUAAAACGUAAAAAGAUGUGUGAAAAUAAAUUAAGCUAAGAAUAGCGCCAUCAUCAAACAACUCUAAUAAACAACAUGGUUGAGUCAACAAUAAUAAUGGGUACACACCUAACGGUUCCUUGGUAUAAUAGCCGAGAGUGUGUUUAAAGGGUGGAAUAUGCUUAAUCCUCAAAAGCUAGUUGGUUAUUUUCGCCACCAAUUUUCUUAAAAGCUUAAACUGUUCGGAUUUUGGCGUAUAAUGUAUUUAUAUUAUGCUUCACCACCAUUCUCCUCUUUCUAUGAUUUUUAAGUUUUUAAGAAAAUUGAAACUCAACAUGGUAUCGGUGCUCUAAUUAAUUAGAUAUAUCAUAUUGAAGUUAUUAUUUCAAUCUAUUUAAUAUUUGUCCAAUUAUUUGUGAUCAUAAAUGUACAAUUUUUAUGUAACUUUUUUAAUGCUCGUGCCUAAUUAUCUAUAAUUAAACAUGUGAUUUGUAUAGUGAGUCUAAUUAUCUUUAAUCACAUAUGUACAAUGGAUAUAGAGUUGCACAUAAAAGAAGGUGAAUAUGCCUAAUUAUUUGUGAUCACAAAUGCGUCAUUUAGGUGGUGUUUAUUUUUUUAAGUUUUUCUAAAAGCAAUUUACUUUUAGAUUUUAUAUUGUUUAUUCUUUUACUUUUUGUUGACUUAAUACUUAUUUCAGAAUUUUUUAUUGAAUAAAAAAAGAUAAAAUAUUUAAUUUGUAUUAAAUAUUAAGAAAAAUAUGUUGAUUUUUCUUUACUGUUUUAUAUUUAAUAAAAAUAAAUAAUUUAAUUAUUAACAUUAUUAAAUACUAUUUAGUUUUAAGUUCUAUUUAAGAAUUAAGCGAAAAAGCAAAGCAACACCUUACUAUUGUUAGCGGCGGUGCACGGCUAUUACUAUCUAUGCCACAGGUAAUAGUUGUUGAGAGUUCCUACAACAAGAAUAUCUUGUAGUGAUUUACCUCUCUUAAAAGGGAAUAUCUUUGUAGUAGAGAAAAGUACUCAAGAAAAUUCAAACAGAUUUAUGACAACCUUGUAGCCAUCGACAGGCAAACAUUCGAGCUUGAUAAAGUAAGUCAAUUUGCUAGAGCACUUGAGGCAAAGUAUCAAGAAUUCCAAUGGACGUUUCAACCCGAUGGACAGUCUUAAUCUUGCAAGCAAGUUCAACAUGCUUGAUACUCCUAAAAAUUCAAUUCGAAUGACCUGUAGUAAUGGUCUGAAACCCAUCUAGAAAACAAUCUUCAUCCACAUUCUCAAUGAAACUUUUCUGACUGAGCAAAGCAAUCAGUGAUGGAACUUCCUCGUGUGUUCUGUUCAUUAGCAUAUGGGUAUAUUAUGCUAGUAAAUUUCGAAAUGGAACUAGAAAAAUUAAGACCACAUUCACACUGCCGACUUUUUGAACGUGUUCCUUGGUUUUUUAUUCUUCAAAUAAUUGAUGUUUUAAAAAAUUAUAUUCAAAUUGUCCUGCUCUUUCUUUGCGCAUGUUAGAAAGCACAAAACUAACACCUACCAUCCACUAAGCCAAGCCAUGGCCAUGGCCAAUGAAACUCCUCAGUCAUUAAUCCAGUUCCUCCACUAGUAUGCAUGAGGCCAACCAAUCUGUAACAAAUGUAUUUGAGAAAUUAAUGCCAAUUUUGACCUAAUGGACUAAGUUCCCGUAAUGGGAUUGACAACUACUCCAGCCCAUGGUGGCCAUUGGGAGGAUACUUUCCUUUUCAGACCUCAUGCAAGCACGUUUGUAGGCAUGCUCAACUUCAAUGGAUUCCUCUUUCGUACUAUACUCAAUGUCUGCUUAGGUUACUCUUAGAAAUCUUUGAGUUGCACCGAAGUUUUUGUACCAUACAUUAAUACAAUAAUUUAAAGAUGAAAUCAUUUACUCAUAACAGUAUGUUGUACCAAUGGAUGAAGCCUUGAUAACUUGUUGUGUAGGCAAAAGUUUUAAUGAUAACACAUUAGAAAAGGAAAACAAAAAUAAAAUGAUCUAUAUACAAAGAUAUAUGAGGUUUUAACAUGAUUCAAUAUCAUACCUAAAUUUGUUGAUAAGAGAAAAUCAUUUCAUCAUUUCAUACAUAAUAUUUUAUUUGACAAAAAAACACAUAUAAUUAUUAAGCCUUCAAGCAUCCUAUAUUUUUACCCUCUUGUGUCUAUACCAUGAAUCACAAACUUUAAUAGAAUUUAUUGUGAAGGCAAAAUCUUUUAAUACUAACAUUGUAUAAAAAGAACACGAAGAUGAAACAAUCUACACAAAAAUAUAUGAGAUUUUAAUGUGAUUUAACUAACCAUGUUUAUACCCAUAGGUGAUACAAUCAUUCUAUUAUAUCAUAGAAAAUAUUAUAGAAGACAAAGGAAUAAAACCCUGAAACAUACCAUGUCUCCCAUUCAUCUCUACCUCAUUACUGUUUUCUCUUCAUGAACUAUAAUAUUUAUAGAGAUAUUUCUAAUAUACCUAUUCUACAUAUAAAAAAAAAAUCAACUAAUACAAUGAUAUAUCAAUAUAGAAAAUAUUCUAUAUAAUAUUUGCAACAAAAAGGAAUAUAUAUAUAUAUAUAUAUACCAUAUAGAACCACAAAUGAAAGAACAUCAAUUCUCUACCUUAUAAAGAAAUUAUAGAGAAACGAUAAAAUAGAUACAAGUUAUAGAUCUUGAAACAAUUUCAUGUUUUCUUACUCCCAAUAUCUACACCUUGAAUGACAAACCCUCACUCUAUUAGGCAUUUUCACUCUUCUUUACAUCUUGACCCACUUGGUAUAUGUUUUAUGUCUUAUCCUGAUCUUGUAAUUAACUUUUUGUCUCCAUGACUUAAAAAUACUUAUAGAUAUAUUCCUAACCUCUUUCUUGUUAUACAAAGAUAUCUAGUAUAACAAAGAAAUAUUAAGUCAAUCUUCUAUCUCUUCAUGACAAACACCUCAAUUGUACACAAGUUAGAAUUUUAAAGCAACUAGACUAAGAUUUAUAUGGUGUUGGAAAUAGAGAUAAGCUUAAAACAUAAAAGUAUAGCAUAACAUAUAUUUCAUACUUCAAGUGCUUAACAACCAAGUAAGAAGGUAGGUGGAUAAUCUUUUCUUCCUCAAUCAGUGAAUUCUUUUAUAUCAUUGCAUUUAAUCCUAUAAUAUACCUUUGUGAUAUUCGCCAUAUCAUGAAGACAGGUUUUAUGCAUGGAUGAUUGUCCAUAAUUCUUUGUUGUUCAAAAUAAUAAGUUUAAAUUCAAAGCAACUCUAGCCAACAUAAGCUAAAGAAAGUAUCACUACCACUUGUAUAGUACUUUGGGUAUUAUUCUUAAGGACUAAAUUAUGUAUGAUAAUGAUGUUAGGUCAAGGAGAUUUAGUAUUACCUAAAUUGUAAAGUAAAAAUAUUGAGAAUUGAUUUACUUAAAUUAAGGGUAGUUGGAAUAAUCUUAAUUACUAGUAAAGUUGAAUAUUAAUUUCUAACAUAAUGGAACAAAUUUGAAGGCUCCAUAAUCCAAUUUUAGGAGUAGAGAUUUGAAGAGAACAAAAGUUUGUUAUCUUCAAUGAUCUUAAGGUUAUUAGGAUACUUGGUCACUCGAGGCCAACUUGACUUCUAUAACUUAUAGUUACAACUUAAACCUAAUUCUUUGACUUAGAAUGGAUAAAAGUCCUAUGUCUCACAUCGGUUUAUUACCAACAUUGGUUGGGCCUUAUAUGUAGCCUCUACUUCCCACAAGCUUAAGCUUUUAAGAGUGUAUGUUGUAUCGCAUCAUUUGGUAUCAUGGUGAGGUUUGGCCUGGCUCACCUUGUGCUCAUUAACAAUUGAGUGGGGGGGUAUUUGAUGUACAUAGGAGGGACAAACAAUGACCCAAAUCAGCUAAUUACCAACAUUGGUUGGGCCUUAUACAUGGUGUUACCUCUACCUCCCAUUAUCUUAGGUUUUUGGGAGUGUAAGUGUCCUGCAUCAUUUUUCUUUUCAAUUCAUAUUCCUAAUUCCCAUAUGAUGAAUGAUAUCUAAUUCAGGUUCAAGUCUCAGCUUUUUAUCACUUACUACUUACAGGUUUGUAUUAACGUGGAUAGCUAUAGAGAUAAUCAUGAUAACAAAGGAUCAAGGGUAGCUAAGAGUCUCUAGUAUGUUGUAGUACUUUAGGCAUCAUCUUUAAAAACUAAAAUAUGGAUAACAAUGAUGUUAGGUCAAGGAGAUUUACUAUUACCUAAAUUGUAAAGUAAAAAUGUUGAGAAUUAAUUUAAGUAAAUUAAAAGUAGUUGGAAUAAACCUAAUUACUAAUCAAAUUAAAUAUUGAUUGAAAGUUGGGGGCUCCAUAAUCCAAUUUUACAAGUAGAUCUUUACAGUGAACAAAAGUUUCUUAUUUUCAAUGAUCUUAAGGUUAUUAAAAUACUUGGUGGCUUGAGAUGAAAUUGAGUUCUAUAACUCAUAAUUAAAUCUUUUUCUUUCUUUUUCUAACAAGAUUAGUUGUAUUAAGAAUUAUUCUCCUGUUUUAUGCAGGUUUCCAAAAGCAGCUUAGGGCUUUGACUGCAUGCAGAUGGCCCUCCAAGUAGCCUAGCUGUUCAUCCUGAUCAUUAAGAUGUCUUGGGGACAUUUUCGAAAAUGAGGCAAGCUUGAAAUUAGAAAAGGGCAGUUCAAGCUCCAUAUAACAAUAUAAAUUAGUACUCUAGCAACAUUUUGGAACAAUUCCUUUCUCUUUUCUCUCUUAAGACUUUAUUGCAUCUGUGAUGCUCUUAAUUAGGAAAAUCCAGUUCUCAUUUCAUUGCAUUAAAUGUUCCGAUGCAAUUGAUAAUGUUGAGUCUUAUAUAAUUAAAAUAAAAUUGUUUUAUAUGGAAUCAUGGGCUCUAGCGUGAGUAGUAAUUAUGAAAAUACCAUCUUUGUCUGAUGGCAUUGGGACAAGGUCACAUGCAUAAGCUUUAAAAUGUGAAAAUAAACAAAGAUGGGACAAGGUUACAUGCAUCUAAUUUUUAAAUGUGAAAGUAAAAGUGUAUUUCACAGUGAUUUUAUGAAUCAUUUUUAAUAUUUUUAAUAUUUAAAAGAUAAAAUUUUUUAAACAUUAAAAAAAUUAGAAAUACUUCUUAAAAUCACCACCAAUUGAAUCACUGCCAAAUGAACUCUAAAUAAAUAAUAUAUAACUUCUACUAUCCACUCACAAAAAAUAAAAAUUAAAUCAUAAACAUUUUUAUUAAUAUAUGUUAUAUAUGUAUCAUUUUGAUAUAUAUUAUUUUUUUACCUUUAAAUAUAAAAAAUAAUAGUAAUUUUUAUAUAAAAUAUAGAAACUCUUACAUAAAGUUUGAUUUAAAAAAAGUACUAAUGAAAAAAAAUUGUUAAUGUUGUGUUAGGAAAAGUAGGUAGAAAGAAAAUAUAAAAUAGAUUUGAUUGAAAUUUGAGAGAAAGAGAAAGUGGAUGUCAAACAAAGUAAAAAAAAAAAAAAAAAAGGAAAGAAAAGUUAAAAAAAGAAAAAGUUAAAAAAAAAUAUAUAUAUUUUAACUUUUUAGGAUGGCCAAACAUGGAGUAUGAGUCGUGUCAUGACACUUCCACUAAACAAGUUGACUCAUUUUCAAUGGAAAGUGACCAAUUUAAUGGCACUUAUAGCCAUUUCUACCAUAUUGAUCACUUUUCUUAAUAAUCAGAUCAGGUAGCAACAUGGACAACUUAAUUCAAUAAUUAAUAUUUUAGUAAUAUUAGACUAGCUAGAACUUUUUGUCAUUUUAAAAACUGAGAAACAAAGCAGUGCAGAAAAAUAAAUGGGGUAAUUACAUAUUUCCAUAAAAUAUUAUAACAAUAAUUAGAAAGUCAUCAUUUUCAUUUCCAGUACCACACAAGUCUUAAUUACAAUUUGAGACACGAACAUUUGGAUAUUAGGUGACUUCUACUUUAUACCCAACCAAUUUGUCGCUAAUACCUUCUUAGUCAAGGGGACAGACUCACAAUUCGUGUUCCUCGGCUAGACUAUUGAGCUUUCAUGGCUAGAAAUGAUGGGGCGAAGGUGAUCAAACCAGUGGUGGUAAUGUUGGUGCGUGGUUCAACGAAUUCUUGAAGUUGGCUACAAGUGACGGCCAGUAUGAAUGAAUAUUUUGAGAAAUUCAAGAUUUCAAUUAGAGAACAACAAUAUUUUACAGGUGACUAUCAAGGAUGUGGACUCUAAUGCAAGGCAGUUAUAUUCAUCUUUAUUCUAUUAUUCUCACGCAACCAUUGUUCCUUGAUUCAAAUUCAAUAUAUGGUAGAUGAUGCAAACUAUAUUCCAUUAUUCUCGUGUAAAAAUUAACAAAGCAUUUUCUAUAUAUAGAAAAUGAUACUCUCCUCAAAUAAGGUAACAUUUGAUUCAUCAAACAAGAAAAUGGUAAAGGAUAUCAUUAAUAUUUGUUUCACUCGAAAAGGACAACCAGAUAUCGUCCACUCUUUUAUUUUAUAUCCAUUAUUUCCCAAAUCUGAAAAUCCUUGUAGAAUCUCAAAGUCAAAUGUUUGACCACUCAAAUAAGUUAAGAAUUUUUUUCCUAAAUUCUACUUUAUUUUAGCACACCCAAAAUUUCAUGCAAUUCAUUCUAGUCUUCAAUGGUAGCUCAGUUUGUAUGUCAUUAGCUUCCAAGGGACUUCCAAGUUAAAACUAGUGUGUUUCCUCGGUUUAUAAACCUGUACAACCGGGGUAUUAUGAAAACAAUAAUAUUUUAAAUAUCAUAUCUAUCCAAAUCUAAAUCGGGAACUUUGAAUAUAAAUGAGCACAUAAAUAAAUAAGAUUAAGUUAUACAGGCGUAAAUAGAUUUGAUGUAUAAAUAAUAAGUAUACUUGGUUGUCCUAAAGCACAGAGAUAAAAUUGUAUGCCAUAUUAGACAUGGCCGCCUCCCACCAUCUUUGAAAUUAGUGAACUCACCAUGACCAAAGCAGCAUGCCCAUGACUUUUCUCCACUUGCGUGUAUGAGGUUCCCGUAAUCGAAUUGGCAAUCCAAGACCAUACAUGGUGGUUGUAGACAUAUUUGGGCUUGGACUUGGAGGAAACUUUUCGCCAGCCAAGCUGCCUUCUUAAGAGUUUUGCCUACGAUAGACCGCAAUACGCCUGCAAGGACGUCAGCAAAAGGACCCCCACACAUCACUUUGGAAAGCAUGAUCUAAGUGUGGAUUGUGGUUUGCUCUAUCUGACAUGAUUCCAACAGCCGGCAGCUCCACUAUUAUGAGGACGCCUCUCUCAGAAAUCCCUUUUUGUCUAUAAAUACUCAUAUGGUUUGAACCAGAGAGUAUCCAAACAGCCUCCCCAACAGCUUCAUUUGCUUCAUAUAUAGUCAUUGGCUUGAGCUAUAAACAGCUUUUCAGUUGGUAUAUUACAUGGCUAGUGCGAAGUUUUGGAAUGUCAUGACAGGGCUGAAGCCAGUCCUGGCAAUGGUGGUGGUUCAAGUGUCACUGGGAGGAAUUAAUAUUAUGUACAAGUUGGCUAAGAGUGACGGCAUGAGCAUGAACGUUUUAAUCGCCUACAGAUAUAUAUUCGCUGCAGCUUUUACGGCUCCACUUGCUUUGAUAUUUGAUCGGUAACUUUCAUUAUUUCUUAGUUUUGUUUUGUAGCUUGUGUUUAUUUAAUUUCAGUGUUUCUUCUCUCUCCCUUCUCUUUCUUGCUUUCUCUCUUUCCUUUUUGUAUGGGGUGAGCUUGUCCCUUGUGUGGCCUGUAUCUCAACUGGGCUAAAGAAAAAUUAUUAUAUCUGUUAUCCUAAAUUUCAUUUUUAAAAAUGGGAGUAUAUGGUUAUGCUUUCUUUACUGACAUUUCUUACAAAUAAGAAAUAAAUUAUCAUGGUUUUAUCUCCGUUUCUCUUUCUCAAUUGCACAAAGAGCAUUUACUAAUAUUUGCCUCAUGUAUGGUACGGUAAACAGGAAGAGUAGGCAAAAAAUGACAUGGAUGAUCUUCUUGCAAGGUUCCUUAUGUGGUUUAUUUGGGUAAGUUUCAAAAAAUAUUUUAUUCUUGUGUUUUAUAUCAAAGGUGUUCAAUUUUGGCCAAAAAUGGUUUAGAUAGGUGAGUUUUCCUGUAAUGAAUCUAUACUUUCUCAAUGAACUCUUUCAUACACAUGAUGAAUAGUAUUCUCAAUUUUGCCAAUGCUUAGAUAGGGUGAUGCCAUGGUAGUUGUCAUAUGAACAGUUGAAAGGAUCUAUGACUAAAAGAUGUCAUUUUCUGCAAGACAUACACUGUUGAAAAUCUAGCUUAGUUACUACAAAUUUUGUUUUCUUCCAUUCAGUAUUUUGUUUACCCUUCAUCUAGUUACAAUAACAGUACUUGUAACACAUAAGAACGUACAACUUCUAACCUAAAGUUUGAUUUCAGGGGGUCAUUAGGUCAAAACUUAUAUGCUGAGAGCUUGACUCUAACGUCCGCAACUUUUGCAGCAGCAAUGACUAACAUUAUUCCAGCCAUGGCAUUUGUCCUGGCAAUUGUCUUGAGGUAAUCCUCCUUUUCUUACCAAAAUUUUAAUCCUAUCAAAUUAACAUGGUUUCAAUAUAUGUUAAAGUUCCAGUUUAAUGAAAAAUAAAUCCUAAAUCCUAGCCAUCUUAUCUCAUAGGAUGGAAAGAUUAGCAAUUGGCACGGUUGCUGGAAAGUCUAAGGUGUUGGGCACUCUAUUAAGCAUAAGUGGUGCACUGGUUCUCACAUUUUACAAAGGAGUAGAGCUCAAUUUGUGGUCAACUAACAUCAACUUGCUGCAUCAUGGUGCAGCAACCUCACAGCAAUCAUCUAAUGAUCAAGUCUUGGGCUCAAUCUUAGCUGUUGUUGCUUGUAUGUGCUUUGCAGUUUGGUUGAUAAUCCAGGUGAUUUUGCUUAUUUAUUUAUUUAUUUUCUCUUCCGAUACAGAAAUUAAUUAAGNNNNNNNNNNNNNNNNNNNNNNNNNNNNNNNNNNNNNNNNNNNNNNNNNNNNNNNNNNNNNNNNNNNNNNNNNNNNNNNNNNNNNNNNNNNNNNNNNNNNAUUUAUUUUCUCUUCAGAUACAGAAAUUAAUUAAGUAUACACCUUUCACUAAUCUCAUAAUUGCUUUUGUGUUUUCCUAUUUCCUCUUUUAUAUGGACAGGCCAAGAUUAGUAUGGUGUAUCCAAGCUACUCUGGAACUGCUCUUACUUGUGUCUCUGCAGCGAUUCAGUCAGUUGUAUAUGCCAUGUGUGCUGAGAAGAAAUGGUCAGCAUGGAAACUUGGUUGGGACAUAAGACUUCUCACUGUUGUUUACACGGUAAGAUAUUUCUUGAAAUUUGUGUAUAAUUCAUUGAAUUUGGGGAAUAUUUAAGAUUUGUUUGGAAUGGUUUUAUUAAUAAAAUGUCAUAAAUAUUAUUUUAACCAUAUUCUUAUUUUUUAUAAAGUAUAUAUUGCAUUAUUUCAAAAUUGUGCACAAAUUGAACAACACACAUCUUGAUUUUAUAAAUUAGGUUGACUUUUUCAAAAUUUUCUCCAAAAAGGAUGCUACCAUAUGAAGUUCGAUAUUCAAUAAAACAAGUUUUAGGUGGUGUUUGUUUUUUUUGUUUUUUGCUGAAAGUAAUUUGUUUUUAGAAUUUAGGUUGUUUGUUUUUCUAUUUUUUCAUGACUUAUUAUAAAUUUUUUAUUAAAUAAAAAAAAGUCAAAAUAUGUAGUUUUUUCUAAAUAGAAAAAAAUAACAUAUUGGUUUUUUUAUACUUUUUAAUACUUAAUAGAAAUAAAAUACUACAAAAAUAAACAACCUAAUAUUUAACACUAUUAAGUAUUAAGGUUCUAUUUAGACUUAAGUAAAAAAACAAACACCACCUUAGUUGGAAAGCAUAACUGCUAAUUAACAUAUGAAAGACAUUCAAUAUUAAAAAUCGUAUUCAGUUUCAAUCAAUAAAUGGUGUUGAGUUAUAACAAAGUUUUGCUGUGUUGCAGGGAGUGUGGGCCACUGGAUUGAUGGUUGCA
rnacentral:lncRNA from 1 species